CUUAAGGCUCCCUUUGGAGCCACAGAGAUUUCAAAAUAAUACCUCU
rfam:Picoides pubescens contig38939, whole genome shotgun sequence.